rnacentral:rRNA from 1 species
CUACGGGCCGCUGCAGUGGGGAAUAUUGGACAAUGGGGGCAACCCUGAUCCAGCAAUACCGCGUGUGUGAAGAAGGCCUGCGGGUUGUAAAGCACUUUCGGUUGGGAGGACUGCUUCUAGCACUAAUAUUGUUGGAAGUUGACGUUACCUUCAGAAGAAGCACCGGCUAACUCCGUGCCAGCAGCCGCGGUAAUACGGAGGGGUGCAAGCGUUAAUCGGAAUUACUGGGCGUAAAGCGCGCGUAGGCGGCUAGAUCAGUCGGGUGUGAAAGCCCCGGGCUUAACCUGGGAACUGCAUCCGAUACUGUCUAGCUUGAGUACAGGAGAGGAGAGUGGAAUUCCACAUGUAGCGGUGAAAUGCGUAGAAAUGUGGAGGAACACCAAUGGCGAAGGCAGCUCUCUGGCCUGAUACUGACGCUGAGGUGCGAAAGCGUGGGGAGCAAACAGGAUUAGAUACCCUUGUAGUC